rnacentral:rRNA from 1 species
AAAGCGUUAAGUAUUCCACCUGGGGAGUACGCCGGCAACGGUGAAACUCAAAGGAAUUGACGGGGGCCCGCACAAGCGGAGGAACAUGUGGUUUAAUUCGAUGAUACGCGAGGAACCUUACCCGGGCUCAAACGACACAGGAAUACUUUUGAAAGGAGGUAGCUCUUAGGAGCCUGUGUCGAGGUGCUGCAUGGUUGUCGUCAGCUCGUGCCGUGAGGUGUCGGCUUAAGUGCCAUAACGAGCGCAACCCCCAUCGCCAGUUACCAGCAAGUCAAGUUGGGGACUCUGGCGAGACUGCCGGCGCAAGCUGUGAGGAAGGCGGGGAUGACGUCAAAUCAGCACGGCCCUUACGUCCGGGGCGACACACGUGUUACAAUGGCAGGUACAGAGAGAAGCAAUGCGGCGACGCAAAGCGGAACUUGAAAGCCUGUCUCAGUUCGGAUUGGAGUCUGCAACUCGACUCCAUGAAGCUGGAUUCGCUAGUAAUCGC